UGGGGAAUAUUGCACAAUGGGCGGAAGCCUGAUGCAGCGACGCCGCGUGAGGGAUGACGGCCUUCGGGUUGUAAACCUCUUUCAGUAGGGAAGAAGCGUAAGUGACGGUACCUGCAGAAGAAGCGCCGGCUAACUACGUGCCAGCAGCCGCGGUAAUACGUAGGGCGCAAGCGUUAUCCGGAAUUAUUGGGCGUAAAGAGCUCGUAGGCGGUCUGUUGCGUCGGCUGUGAAAACCCGGGGCUCAACCCCGGGCCUGCAGCCGAUACGGGCAGACUAGAGUUCGGCAGGGGAGACUGGAAUUCCUGGUGUAGCGGUGAAAUGCGCAGAUAUCAGGAGGAACACCGGUGGCGAAGGCGGGUCUCUGGGCCGAAACUGACGCUGAGGAGCGAAAGCGUGGGGAGCGAAC
rnacentral:rRNA from 1 species